UGGGGAAUAUUGGACAAUGGGCGAAAGCCUGAUCCAGCCAUGCCGCGUGUGUGAAGAAGGCUUUCGGGUUGUAAAGCACUUUCAGUGGGGAAGAAGGCUUGUCGGCCAAUACCCGGCAAGAGCGACAUCACCCACAGAAGAAGCACCGGCUAACUCCGUGCCAGCAGCCGCGGUAAUACGGAGGGUGCAAGCGUUAAUCGGAAUUACUGGGCGUAAAGCGCGCGUAGGCGGCUUGUCACGCCGGGUGUGAAAGCCCCGGGCUCAACCUGGGAACGGCAUCCGGAACGGGCAGGCUAGAGUGCAGGAGAGGAAGGUAGAAUUCCCGGUGUAGCGGUGAAAUGCGUAGAGAUCGGGAGGAAUACCAGUGGCGAAGGCGGCCUUCUGGACUGACACUGACGCUGAGGUGCGAAAGCGUGGGUAGCAAACAGG
rnacentral:rRNA from 1 species